CCUACGGGAGGCAGCAGUGGGGAAUAUUGCACAAUGGGGGAAACCCUGAUGCAGCGACGCCGCGUGAGUGAAGAAGUACUUCGGUAUGUAAAGCUCUAUCAGCAGGGAAGAAAAUGACGGUACCUGAUUAAGAAGCACCGGCUAACUACGUGCCAGCAGCCGCGGUGAUACGUAGGGGGCAAGCGUUAUCCGGAUUUACUGGGGGUAAAGGGAGCGUAGACGGCGUGGCAAGUCUGAAGUGAAAUGCGGGGGCUCAACCCCUGGACUGCUUUGGAAACUGUACGGCUGGAGUGCAGGAGAGGCAAGCGGAAUUCCUAGUGUAGCGGUGAAAUGCGUAGAUAUUAGGAGGAACACCAGUGGCGAAGGCGGCUUGCUGGACUGUAACUGACGUUGAGGCUCGAAAGCGUGGGGAGCAAACAGGAUUAGAUACCCGAGUAGUC
rnacentral:rRNA from 1 species